GGCCUAGCACAUGACAAGUCGAGCGGAUGAAGGGAGCUCAGCUCCUGGAUUCAGCGGCGGACGGGUGAGUAAUGCCUAGGAAUCUGCCUGGUAGUGGGGGAUAACGUCCGGAAACGGGCGCUAAUACCGCAUACGUCCUGAGGGAGAAAGUGGGGGAUCUUCGGACCUCACGCUAUCAGAUGAGCCUAGGUCGGAUUAGCUAGUUGGUGGGGUAAAGGCCUACCAAGGCGACGAUCCGUAACUGGUCUGAGAGGAUGAUCAGUCACACUGGAACUGAGACACGGUCCAGACCCCUACGGGAGGCAGCAGUGGGGAAUAUUGGACAAUGGGCGAAAGCCUGAUCCAGCCAUGCCGCGUGUGUGAAGAAGGUCUUCGGAUUGUAAAGCACUUUAAGUUGGGAGGAAGGGCAGUAAGUUAAUACCUUGCUGUUUUGACGUUACCAACAGAAUAAGCACCGGCUAACUUCGUGCCAGCAGCCGCGGUAAUACGAAGGGUGCAAGCGUUAAUCGGAAUUACUGGGCGUAAAGCGCGCGUAGGUGGUUCAGCAAGUUGGAUGUGAAAUCCCCGGGCUCAACCUGGGAACUGCAUCCAAAACUACUGAGCUAGAGUACGGUAGAGGGUGGUGGAAUUUCCUGUGUAGCGGUGAAAUGCGUAG
rnacentral:rRNA from 1 species